AGAGUUUGAUCCUGGCUCAGAUCGAACGCUGGCGGCAGGCCUAACACAUGCAAGUCGAGCGGAUGAAGGGAGCUUGCUCCUGGAUUCAGCGGCGGACGGGUGAGUAAUGCCUAGGAAUCUGCCUGGUAGUGGGGGAUAACGUCCGGAAACGGGCGCUAAUACCGCAUACGUCCUGAGGGAGAAAGUGGGGGAUCUUCGGACCUCACGCUAUCAGAUGAGCCUAGGUCGGAUUAGCUAGUUGGUGGGGUAAAGGCCUACCAAGGCGACGAUCCGUAACUGGUCUGAGAGGAUGAUCAGUCACACUGGAACUGAGACACGGUCCAGACUCCUACGGGAGGCAGCAGUGGGGAAUAUUGGACAAUGGGCGAAAGCCUGAUCCAGCCAUGCCGCGUGUGUGAAGAAGGUCUUCGGAUUGUAAAGCACUUUAAGUUGGGAGGAAGGGCAGUAAGUUAAUACCUUGCUGUUUUGACGUUACCAACAGAAUAAGCACCGGCUAACUUCGUGCCAGCAGCCGCGGUAAUACGAAGGGUGCAAGCGUUAAUCGGAAUUACUGGGCGUAAAGCGCGCGUAGGUGGUUCAGCAAGUUGGAUGUGAAAUCCCCGGGCUCAACCUGGGAACUGCAUCCAAAACUACUGAGCUAGAGUACGGUAGAGGGUGGUGGAAUUUCCUGUGUAGCGGUGAAAUGCGUAGAUAUAGGAAGGAACACCAGUGGCGAAAGCGACCACCUGGACUGAUACUGACACUUGAGUGCGAAAGCGUGGGGAGCAAACAGGAUUUAGAUACCCUGGUAGUCCACGCCGUAAACGAUGUCGACUAGCCGUUGGGAUCCUUGAGAUCUUAGUGGCGCAGCUANCGCGAUAAGUCGACCGCCUGGGGAGUACGGCCGCAGGUUAAAACUCAAAUGAAUUGACGGGGGCCCGCACAAGCGGUGGAGCAUGUGGUUUAAUUCGAAGCAACGCGAAGAACCUUACCUGGCCUUGACAUGCUGAGAACUUUCCAGAGAUGGAUUGGUGCCUUCGGGAACUCAGACACAGGUGCUGCAUGGCUGUCGUCAGCUCGUGUCGUGAGAUGUUGGGUUAAGUCCCGUAACGAGCGCAACCCUUGUCCUUAGUUACCAGCACCUCGGGUGGGCACUCUAAGGAGACUGCCGGUGACAAACCGGAGGAAGGUGGGGAUGACGUCAAGUCAUCAUGGCCCUUACGGCCAGGGCUACACACGUGCUACAAUGGUCGGUACAAAGGGUUGCCAAGCCGCGAGGUGGAGCUAAUCCCAUAAAACCGAUCGUAGUCCGGAUCGCAGUCUGCAACUCGACUGCGUGAAGUCGGAAUCGCUAGUAAUCGUGAAUCAGAAUGUCACGGUGAAUACGUUCCCGGGCCUUGUACACACCGCCCGUCACACCAUGGGAGUGGGUUGCUCCAGAAGUAGCUAGUCUAACCGCAAGGGGGACGGUUACCACGGAGUGAUUCAUGACUGGGGUGAAGUCGUAACAAGGAA
rnacentral:rRNA from 1 species